rnacentral:rRNA from 1 species
UCGACCUCAGAUCAGACGAGAGAACCCGCUGAAUUUAA